CCCAAAUCUGAAAAACGCGGAAGGAAGGGGACGACGACUCUUAAUUUUGCAUACUCCUCAUGGCAGGUCGAUUCUUGCGCCAUGAAAGUACCGAAAGACCUCAGGUUCGAGUUCGCGGGAGCCCAACGCCAGAACGAAAGGAGUGUACAUGAGGCGAGUCAUCUUCUCCAGCACGACGCUCUGACACCGGAGAUGCGAGGACAUAGCCUGCGUUUGGCCUCUCUUUCUAUCAAGAUUCCGGGUAUUGGAGUUAUGGAAUUAAUUGAAUUUAUUUAUGGAAAGUUGGGGAAUUGGGGUUUAAUUCUUCAGCAUUUUUUUUUUUUUUUCAGAUUUUGGCUUCAAAGAAAUAGCUUUCUGGGUCUAUGUUUCUGCUUAUGAAAUUGCUCUGGUUUGGGCAUUUACUGAUGUGAAUUUGAGUUCUCAGCUUAAAUUCAAGGCAGCUGAUUUGCUUAGUUGCCUUGGCACUUUGUUCUAGAAGUUGGAUACUGAUUUGGUUGAGAAAAUGGCUUGCAUGUUCCAAUUGAGAAUGAAAAAGAUGAAUACUUGAGCUGUGUGAGUGUAAUGUUGGGUUUGCUUUAGAGUGAGUUCAUGUUUAUAUUGUUAUCAAUAUAUAAUCAAAACUUUGCUUUCUUUUAUGAAAGUGAAAACUAAGAAGAGAUAUGAAACCGAGGUUUUGAACAUUUCUGGUUUGUCAUUAGAAAUCUAGGGUUGGGUUUGAUGUAUAGAAGUUUAUGUUGUAUAUCACCCACGCCAGAAGAGAGUUUGAAUCUGUGAUUAAUCUAAAUUACAUGAACAUUUCUUGAUGUUAUUUAAUUGAUUUUCCUUUGGUUAAAUUGAUUGAUACAACUUUGCUUCUAUUUUCUGGUGAAGGAAUCAGAGUGACUCAAAGUAGUACUAAACGAUUGAGCCCUGGGUGUCUUCGGAAAUAACAUGUAAGAAGACAAGGCAGCAAGUUCCCCCUCUAGCAAGGUUUCUCAUUGCUUCUGGUUCUAGCUCAAUCAUAUUAAACCUGAAACAAGAGAAGCUAGGUGUAGUUGUAAGAGCUGCAGCAUGCCAUCUGUAAUCUGCAGUAUGUCAGCUGCAGUAUGUCUUUUUCCCAAAUCAUCUCUUAACCAAUAAGAAAUACGGUUCUAGUAGACUAAGAAUUGUUGCUUCAUAAACAAUGGUCUUAAAAAGGAAGAUAGUGCGAUGUUUAACAAUCUAUGGACUGAUUCAAUGCUUUGAUGAACUUUUGCCAGACUUUUAUUCUAGGAAGGAACCCCACUAUUCAAUGCUUUGAUGAACUGUAUGUGUGGUUCAUUGUGAUGAAAAACAGAGAAUUGAGAGAGAACAAAAAUGUGAAAAGUGUGAUUUUCAUUGAAUUGAUCCCAUUACAGUUAUAGCUUGAUUUUGUAUCACUUCCAAAGCAUAAAGCUCAAGUUGGGAGAACUGUAUAAGUAUUAAAUGUGGUUAAGUUCUUUUUAGUGUGUCUGGUUGAUCCAUUGAAAGUCUUUCUAAUUGUCUUGACAGCCUAUUUUCAAUUAGUUGUGACAAUUUGGUGAAGAAGGGUUUUGCUUGAUAUUUUGGUUCCUAUUCUUUUUUUGUUUUUGUUUUUAUUUUUAUUUUUUCGGUGGUUGGUGUUAUGCUACUACAAUUUGAUAUGGUUGAGGGAAUUGUGAAGAGUCCAUGUAAAAAUUGGACAUGUGUUUCCAUGAACAUAUAUUUCAUGCAGCAAUUGAUAUCUGUACCCUUAGAUAAUCUGACAUGUUUCUUUUGAUACACAAUAAGAGAGCUAUUGCUUGUGAGAGGCAGGUGUUAAGCAAGCUGAUGCAGAGAUGGUUUUCAGAACAAGAGAGGAAGCGUGUCUUUGAGAAGUGGGGUAUUGCACUCGACUGUAAGGCUCUUUGUUAAGUGCAUUUUGAUGAUGAAUGGUAUUAUGUGUAUGUGAAGAUGGUUGUGGCAUGUUUCGUGAAGCGAGCAUGAGAAGAGGAGAAAGCCAAUGACACCAGUUACUUCCAAGAUAAAGAAAUACAAAAUCAAGGGUUACUCUUCUUGAUCAGGUCUUACAAGUCCCGGUUUAAGUUAUUGAAUGAUGGUACUAUUCGACGCUGGAGGGAGGGCAAGUGGCACAAUGCACAUCUGAAGCAGCUGCAUGUGACAAAAUCAAAUGAUGAGCUGCAAUGUAAGGCUCAGUUUGUGAAAUCCCAGCUGUGCAAUUUCCAUCAGCUUUGGAGCACCGUGCCGGAGGAUUCAUCCCAUUGUCAUGGCAGAGCAACCACCACUCCAGGCUCUUUGAAUGUCAUCCGGUUCUUCACUUUCCCAGUACCAUCGAUAGACAUCAAAAUUUAGGUUUUUUCAUGAUAUCAAUGUCUUCUUUGUAACGGUGAUAUUUGUCCACCGUAACAUCUGUUAUAUCAUUAUUUGCAAUGUUAUGAUAACAUUAAGACAUUAUUGUUGUGUAGUAUGUGUCAGGAUGAUCUAUUAUCGUGUAUUAUGUGUUAAAUGGCGCUUGAAAUUGUUCU